rfam:Podospora anserina complete mitochondrial genome
GAUUCCUUGACUUAACUGGUUAAAGUGUAUUUUUGAUAAGAAUAAUAUCAGCGUUCGAGCCGCUGAGGAAUCA